rnacentral:rRNA from 1 species
CACGCAGUAAACGAUGAUAACUCGUUGUCGGCGAUACACAGUCGGUGACUAAGCGAAAGCGAUAAGUUAUCCACCUGGGGAGUACGUUCGCAAGAAUGAAACUCAAAGGAAUUGACGGGGGCCCGCACAAGCGGAGGAACAUGUGGUUUAAUUCGAUGAUACGCGAGGAACCUUACCCGGGCUUGAAAGUUAGUGACGAUACUUGAAAGAGUAUUUCCCUUCGGGGCACAAAACUAGGUGC